AUUGUUCGAACAGCUUGACCCUCACUUGCACAGAUUUUGAAUUUUGCUUGAUGUGCUAAUUGUCACUUGGUAAUCUUUCUUGAAUAGUUUGGACAACUUGGCGUUGGUGAUAAUGUUGAUCACUGCUCUCCAGUUCAAGUAAAAUUCCCUCAGGACCAGAAGGUUAUCCAGACGUCUUGUGGAUGGAGGCAUACUCUUGCUUUGACAGAGAGUAAAAAUGUGUUUUCAUGGGGCAGAGGUACUAAUGGUCAGCUUGGACAUGGGGAUACUCUUGACAGGAAUACACCAAAGAUCAUUGAGGUUUUGAGCUCCGAUGGUUCAAGCUGCAGCCAGAUACCAUCCUCUAGAGCAGAUCCACUACAAGGUUUGUGAGCUCAUGCCAUUUCCUGUCAAGAAGAAUAUUAGAGAAAUUUCUA